UCGGUGUCCAAUUAGUUCUUAAGUACAUGUUGAAUUAAGCCAGAGAAAUCCAGAGAGAUUCUUGUCAUUGGAAGAAACAUUAUAAGAGACCGUUUGAGAACCACAGGAAACAUGAAGAAAAGGAGCGUAGAAAAACUAUUAUAAAAAGCCGUUUGCAAUCAGGCCAUAUCGUUGCAUCCUGGGAUGACCUCAAGGGGAGGCUAGCACCACCAACCAAAGAACGGCUUAAUCCUUUUCCAGUACUCAAAACAGCGAGCUGGCUGCACAAAAUGGAACCCUGAGAGAGCUACUGGUGUUCCAGCACAACCGACAUGAUCAUGAAAGGUAAAAGAUUAACAUGGGCGUACCGUUGUGGACCACCUCAAGAGCGUCACAGGUCCCCUGUUGGACCCCCUGCAGUUUGCCUACUGCGCAAACAGGUCUGCAGAUGAUGCAGUCAACAUGGGACUGCACUUCAUCCUAGAACAC